rfam:Aedes albopictus isolate Foshan contig61972, whole genome shotgun sequence.
UGUUCUGUGGUUCAGUUGAUUAAAGUGCCGGACUAGCGAUACGGAGACGUUGGUUCGAAUCCCACCCAAACAA